AGCGGCGGACGGGUUAGUAACGCGUGGGAACGUACCCUUUUCUACGGAAUAGCCUUUGGAAACGAAGAGUAAUACCGUAUACGCCCUUUGGGGGAAAGAUUUAUCGGAGAAGGAUCGGCCCGCGUUAGAUAGAUAGUUGGUGGGGUAACGGCCUACCAAGUCUACGAUCUAUAGCUGGUUUUAGAGGAUGAUCAGCAACACUGGGACUGAGACACGGCCCAGACUCCUACGGGAGGCAGCAGUGGGGAAUCUUAGACAAUGGGCGCAAGCCUGAUCUAGCCAUGCCGCGUGAGUGAUGAAGGCCUUAGGGUCGUAAAGCUCUUUCGCCUGUGAUGAUAAUGACAGUAGCAGGUAAAGAAACCCCGGCUAACUCCGUGCCAGCAGCCGCGGUAAUACGGAGGGGGUUAGCGUUGUUCGGAAUUACUGGGCGUAAAGCGCACGUAGGCGGAUUGGAAAGUUGGGGGUGAAAUCCCGGGGCUCAACCCCGGAACUGCCUCCAAAACUAUCAGUCUAGAGUUCGAGAGAGGUGAGUGGAAUUCCAAGUGUAGAGGUGAAAUUCGUAGAUAUUUGGAGGAACACCAGUGGCGAAGGCGGCUCACUGGCUCGAUACUGACGCUGAGGUGCGAAAGUGUGGGGAGCAAACAGGAUUAGAUACCCUGGUAGUCCACACC
rnacentral:rRNA from 1 species